UAACAAGGUCUCCGUUGGUGAACCAGCGGAGGGAUCAUUG
rnacentral:rRNA from 16 species